rnacentral:snRNA from 1 species
AUACUUACCUGGCGCGGGGAUACACCGUGAUCAAGAAGGCGGUGCCCUCCAGGACGAGGCCUGUACAUUGCACUCCGUAUGGGCUGACUCCUGCGACUACCAAAUCGGGGUGGCUCGAGCGCAUAAUUUUUGGUAGUGGGGGCAAGCGUUUUCGCGCUGUCCCUUU